AUGGAGCCGGCUGCCCUCAUCAACCACGCCCGCUGCCCCCGCAACAGCCACAAGGUCAUCGCCUCCUCGCCGGCGAUGGAGCACCAGGUUUUCCUGCUAAACCAGCAUGCGGUCGUGGUCAUCGCGGUGGGCACCAAGGUGCAUGCAGCGAGCCCACUCUCCAUCGGCCGCGCGCUUGAGCGCGAACUCAAGAUCCCUCCACACCUGCUCCGCGUCACCAACCACGACCCCGAGGACUUCUUCGUCUACUUCACCUUGCCGGCGCACAAGGACCUCGCGGUGGGGCGCGGCUCGCUGUCGGUGGAUGGCCUGCCGUUCCUGCUCGAGCCCUGGAGGGAGGACGCCCACGCCGUCCGGCUCAAGUGGAUGCUGCACGUUCGCGUGGUCAUCGAGAAGCUCCCCAUGCAGCUCUGGACAAUGGAGGGCGCGGUGGAGGCCAUCGGCGACAAGGUCAUCGUCGACCGCCUCGACAGCCGGACCCAUCAGCGCGUCGACACCAAGCUAUUCGCAUCUUGGGUCUGGUGCUGGGACACUGCCCACAUCCCCACGAAGCGCACGAUCUGGAAGCAUGCCCGGGGCGCCGGCCGCGUUGAUGAGAUGGUGGGCUACUCUCCUCCGAGCCGCGCCAUGGCGCCUGCAGUACGACUUGCUUCUCCACCUGGAUCGCGUGGAGGACUGGACUCCUCUCUCGCCGCAUUCAUCCCACUCGCCGUAGAGAGGCAUCCCCUCCGACGACGACGAGCCUGA
rnacentral:rRNA from 1 species